UACGUAGGGUGCGAGCGUUGUCCGGAAUUAUUGGGCGUAAAGAGCUCGUAGGCGGUGUGUCACGUCGGCCGUGAAAACCUGGGGCUUAACUCUGGGCGUGCGGUCGAUACGGGCAUCACUAGAGUUCGGCAGGGGAGACUGGAAGUUCCUGGUGUAGCGGUGAAAUGCGCAGAUAUCAGGAGGAACACCGGUGGCGAAGGCGGGUCUCUGGGCCGAUACUGA
rnacentral:rRNA from 1 species